GGCCAUGGCAGCCGCAGCGGCAGACACACGGCCACCACACGUGCUCCUUUAUUUAAUGCCUUGCAAGGCUCGGCCUCAGUACUUUGAGAAGAGCAGCAGCGGCGGCCAUCAGUGAUAGAUCACUCGUGCCCUUCCUAGCAAGGUCGCCCAAGGAGGAAGAAGAAGCAGCGCAGAGAUGGCGGCCGCCUUCUCCUCCACCGUCGGAGCUCCGGCCUCCACCCCGGCCAGCUUCCUCGGGAAGAAGCUCAGGACGCAAGCGACCGCGGCCGUGAACUACCAUGUCAAGAGCUCCAGCGCCAACAGGUUCAAGGUCAUGGCCGCCAAGGAUGUCGACGAGACCAAGCAGACCGACAAAGACAGGUGGAGGGGCCUCGUCAACGACAUCUCCGACGACCAGCAGGACAUCACCAGGGGCAAGGGUUUCGUCGACUCCCUCUUCCAGGCACCCAUGGGAGACGGCACCCACGAGGCCGUGCUCAGCUCCUACGAGUACCUCAGCCAGGGCUUGAGGGACUACACCGGGUGGGACAACAUGAAGGAUGGCUUCUACAUCGCCCCGGCCUUCAUGGACAAGCUCGUCGUCCACCUCUCCAAGAACUUCAUGACCCUGCCAAACAUCAAGGUGCCCCUCAUCCUGGGUAUCUGGGGAGGCAAGGGUCAAGGGAAAUCCUUCCAGUGUGAGCUUGUCUUCGCCAAGAUGGGCAUCACCCCCAUCAUGAUGAGCGCCGGAGAGCUGGAGAGCGGCAACGCCGGAGAGCCCGCCAAGCUCAUCAGGCAGCGGUACCGUGAGGCCGCCGACAUCAUCAAGAAGGGCAAGAUGUGCUGCCUCUUCAUCAACGAUCUCGACGCCGGUGCCGGUCGCAUGGGCGGGACCACCCAGUAUACCGUCAACAACCAGAUGGUGAACGCCACCCUGAUGAACAUCGCCGACAACCCCACCAACGUGCAGCUCCCCGGCAUGUACAACAAGGAGGAGAACCCCCGUGUCCCCAUCGUCGUCACCGGCAACGACUUCUCCACCCUGUACGCGCCGCUCAUCCGUGACGGCCGUAUGGAGAAGUUCUACUGGGCUCCCACCCGUGAGGACCGGAUCGGUGUCUGCAAGGGCAUCUUCCGCACCGACGGCGUCCCUGAAGCCGACGUCGUCAAGCUCGUCGACACCUUCCCCGGCCAGUCCAUCGACUUCUUUGGCGCCCUGCGUGCCCGGGUGUACGAUGACGAGGUCCGCAAGUGGGUCGCCGAGACCGGCAUCGAGAACAUCGGCAAGAAGCUCGUCAACUCCAAGGACGGCCCGCCGACGUUCGACCAGCCCAAGAUGACGAUCGAGAAGCUCUUGGAGUACGGCCACAUGCUGGUGGAGGAGCAGGAGAACGUCAAGCGUGUGCAGCUUGCUGACAAGUACCUCAGCGAGGCGGCUCUUGGUGAGGCCAACGAGGACGCCAUGAAGACCGGCGCCUUCUUCAAGUAGAAAACCAGGACACACACACCCUCUUGCUAUAGCUAGGCGGCCGGCAUAGGAGGAGGUAAAGCAGCGAAUUGCAAGUCUACCGUACCCAAGGUUGCACCGUCCCGGGUGCCACCAAUGCAACUUGGACCCGACGGCGAGGAUCGACGGUGGCAGCUGCUUUACAACUUUCAAGCUUGCCAUUUUUAUUAUAUCCGAUCUAUGUUCUACCCUUUGUACUAAGAUACCAGAUCUGGCCAAGUGAUAGCUGGGCAUGAAAAGUUUUUGUCAAUGUAAAGAUAUAUAUUGUUGGAUUUAGAGAGAUUCAAUGGGGAUUUGGAGAUGAGAUAGAAGAGAAGCAAAUGGGGGAAUUUCUCAGAGCUUCCAGAGCUGGUGCCCCUCUUCCCCCUUUUAUAAACAAUUUUACAUUCAAGUC